AUUGAACGCUGGCGGCAGGCUGAACACAUGCAAGUCGAGCGGGGUGAUGGUGCUUGCACUAUCACUUAGCGGCGGACGGGUGAGUAAUGCUUAGGAAUCUGCCUAUUAGUGGGGGACAACAUCUCGAAAGGGAUGCUAAUACCGCAUACGUCCUACGGGAGAAAGCAGGGGAUCACUUGUGACCUUGCGCUAAUAGAUGAGCCUAAGUCGGAUUAGCUAGUUGGUGGGGUAAAGGCCUACCAAGGCGACGAUCUGUAGCGGGUCUGAGAGGAUGAUCCGCCAAACUGGGACUGAGACACGGCCCAGACUCCUACGGGAGGCAGCAGUGGGGAAUAUUGGACAAUGGGGGGAACCCUGAUCCAGCCAUGCCGCGUGUGUGAAGAAGGCCUUAUGGUUGUAAAGCACUUUAAGCGAGGAGGAGGCUCUUUUGGUUAAUACCCAAGAUGAGUGGACGUUACUCGCAGAAUAAGCACCGGCUAACUCUGUGCCAGCCGCCGCAGUAA
rnacentral:rRNA from 1 species